AAAAUUUCUUCCAUGUUAAUGCUCCACUAAUUAUGUUUGAAUGUGUUUUAAUGGAGGAGAAUAGUCGGAGGUGAGAUCCGCUCCAGAGAUGAGGACGGUGUGUGGGCUCGCGUGCUUCCACCUGCCACGGUUCCUGGGCUCGGCAGACACUCAGAGACCUCAAGUGGAGCUUGUGCGCUGUUCUGAAGGGCAGAGUAAGAUGGAAGAAUGGGACUCUACUCAUUACUUCCAUACAAUGCCUCAUAUUGCCCUCUCUCACACAAAUGUAUCUUCAAAGGAGAACAGAAAUGAGGUCACAGUACCUGUCAAUAGCAAAAUAACAAGAGACAAACUGGAAUGAAAAGCAAGCUAUCUCUACACAAAUGGAACUUGGAGACUGAGUGUGAAUUCUGUGACAGUGUUCUAUAAAGAAGAAGACAAACGAGCAUGAAGAGAGGACAGGAAAUUUGAAUCCUAAAUGUGACUUCCUGUAUGAAAACAUGUAACUUUGGGCAAUGACUUUCAUUUUCCCUUGAUGAUGGAAGAAGAUGAGAUUCCCUGGAUUCAAGAAGACUCUAUCUAAAAAAUGCAUUUAAUAAAUAAUUUAAAUAAAAUACAUCCCCAUUGGCCCCUAAACAAAAUUCAUUUUUAUCAUUUAUAGAACAUUUUGUCAUAAGCUUUACUUA
rnacentral:lncRNA from 1 species